CUUGGACAGUGUGCUGAGAGCAGAGCUUGCUGAGAGACCAUUUAUUUUGUUUCUUGAGCCUCAGAUUAUUCAGAACGCUACCCACCAGGCAAAGCCUAUCAACAAACAAUCUCAUCCAUCCAUGACAGGCACCCCAAAGUAUACAGAUUUACACUGAGAUAUAAUUAGAAAAAAUAAUACGCCAAAUGGCAUAUGAAGUCUUAGGUCCUGCCCGUGCACUGAUGGAUUGCCCAAGGUUAGGGUCUGAUUCCCACAAAAGGGUGCAGUUCAUGCCCUGGCAGUGGAGCAGAGACCCAAUUUCAACCACAGCAUGAGCAUGGCAGUAGCCAUCACACAGCAUCUCAAAAAUAUUGGGAUUUUGAGGUGGUUAAAAAAAGGUGGCCUAUGAUAAAGCUGCUAUGUAGUAUUUCCAACAUAUAUAAGUAGAACGACCCAGAAGGAAGACUAGCUCUACACACAAGUCACUGAAAGGAUUUAUGAGCUCCAAAGCAAAACAGCCAAUAAAAGGAAGCUGUUGAUUGACAUGUGGAUAUGGAAAAAAACAUAUUUGGAGAUGGAACAACUAUAGCAGAAUACCCAUGACAGAAGAAACAUUAUUCUUAAGAAGACAGCACUUACAGAACAAUGUCAAAGAAGUGAGAGGCAUAAAACUAAACAGUAUUCUAAAACUGUAUUGGUGUUGAAAAAGAGAGAUCAAACUUUGUCUGAGCCAUGAAACUUUAAAAGGAAAUCAAGAAUACCAUGUUCAAAGAGGCAUUGCCAUAUGAUCUGGAAGGAAGUCAAAUGUUUCACAAAACAGUUGCAUUUGCAAAAGCCUAGUAAUGCAGCUCUUUGAUCCUAAACACGUUUCUUUAGAAGUGUGUCCAAAUCAUUUCUACCAAUGCUGAGCUAAAACUGCUACCUGUGCUUUUGAACAUUUUUGGUAAUACCACAAAACAACCCAUCCUUUUGUGAUUUUUGAGCACUCAUUGCAAAAAUAUUGCCUUAUUCAUGUAAUCUGUUGUCACGUGCCUUCACUCUCAACUGCCUCCAAGUGCCCACAGUGGCUGACAUAAUAUGAAAGAGUUUGCCACCCUAGUAAUGUUGUAUUUCUGCAGUUUGUGUAAGCCAUGUAAGUUGUGCAAUGCAAAACUUUACGCAAAUUGCAUCACACAAGAAUAAACAUGUUAUUUCCAAUGGGUUUGCUCUUGUGUGAUACAAUUUGCACAAUUUACAUAAAUUGUGCAAAUGCAACAUUACUAGGCUGAUGUGCUCUUAUGCAGUAUGUCAGCCAGUGACAUCAUCAUAUAAUCAAAUCUGUAUGUAGUGCUGUAAUGUCAUCCGAUUCACUGCAUGAUCCCUGAUUGGGGUUAGGUAGAUAUGGGUAAGAGCAAAGGUUGAAAGCAAGUGUAGUGUUGAACAGCUGUGAAUGGACGUUCCAGGUUCAGGUUUCAGUUCAACCAUGAACUCACUGUCAGUAAUAAUAAGAUAAUAGUAAUAAUUAUAAUAGUAAUAAUAUUGGACUGACUUACAGGGCUGAACAGUAGAAUUCCUGAACUAUUUUUGCCAUUUAAAAAAAUGUGUGAUGUAAAUAUUGUUGCUGUUGCUUUCUUGUGUCAUCAUUUCCCACCAUGGUCCUGGAGAAUGAAUAAGUAAUAUAGUAUUACAGGCAUAACCUGCUCCAGGCAAAUAAUUCAGCAUUUGCACACUUAAGUGGUCCUGAGAAAUUUUUAACCAAAUAUGUUUUAACGGUUCCCAAACAGUUUCUAUUAAUACUUUCGAGGAAAAUCAAAUAAUAGACUAUAAGACAAUUUGUUCCACCUCCUUGCCCUACAGAUGCUAAUAUAGAUUUGGUCAAUAAGUACCAAUUGAGUCCACACAGGUACCACAAAUGCUUUCAAGUAAUUUAUUAGUUAAUGUAUAGAUUAAAUUGCUUUUUUAGAACAACCAAAAAUGGUUCUUUAAGUUAAUCUUUACAUCAAUAUAAUCAUCUUCAGAGUGGUCUCUUUACAGUAAGACCACAGCUAUGAAAAAGCCAAGAAGUAUAAAGAUUAAGCUGAAAACACUGAAUUGAUCUGUUAAUAUCAGUGGUCAUAAGUGCACGCUGUACCAUCCUUUCAGAUUAUAGAAUAAA